UUGGUGUGCUAUUUGGCCGCAUGUGUUCCCCUGUGUGUAAGAGACAGGACCGUGUUCCCCAUUACUACUGUUUUCUGGUCUGAAGAUGAAAUUGUCACCCACAAGUUGUUGGACUGCUUUGAAGAAAGAAGUGCCUCUCGAGUCACCUUCCUGGGAUGGUUGAUGUCUGUGGCAACUUGACUGCAUCAAGAACCUAAUCACCAUGGCGACUGGGUUGUGUCUGUCACGUAUCUAUAACAGCAAUGAGAAAAGCAUGUAUCUUGAAUUCAGCUCACUCCACUCCACUCAACAGAUGUAUGUUGAAAACCCAAGGUUUCUGGAAGCUGCUGCCACUGCUGCUGCUGCGGCCGCUACUCCUUUUCCUUCUCCUCCUCCUCUUCUUCUUCUUCCUCUUCCUCCUCCUCCUCCUCUUCUUCUUCUUCUUCAUCUUCUUCUUUCUUCUCCUCCUCCUCUUCCUCCUCCUCCUUCCUCCUCCUCCUAUUUUUUUUUUGACCCAUCAAGCCUAAUUUGUGUUUCUCAAAUACUUUUGGUAUGAGGCCCACACUUAGAGCAUGGUCGACCUUCUAGGUUCACAUCCUUAAAGAGUGCUUAACUCUUCCUCUUCUACCACCUACUAAUUUCCAAGUGCACCUACCUCCUCCAUGCUGGGAUUUUGCCUGGCUUCAGCUUGAACAGCAUGCAGGCACUGGUUGUUGGCCUUGAUAAUAGUAUUAGGCAUGGGUUAGACCUCGUGGAGUGGGCCCCAAAUCCAAUCAGAAAGUGUUUGGUUACUCUCCUAACACUUCUACCACCAUUGCUCCAGGGGACAUACCUAGCAUGCAGGGUUCUCAGCUGGGUGAGACUAAGGAUGACAUUUCUUCCCUGGUAGCAUGCAGAGUACCUUAAUGUACCAUUAAAGCUGGCCAGUAGGGAUAAAACUUCAAGAUCACUACCUGUUUGACUUCUUCAUGGUUUAUGACACAACAGGGUUUUACUGACAAAUUCUGGAGGGUAACCAAGAACAAUGGUGGUAGGAUGUACUGUUGAGGAGCCUAUGGGACCUUUCACUAAAAACUCUACAAGGGCUAAUCCAUUCUUGGUGAUGAACAUCUUAUUUGCUAGAUUGUGUUCACUAGCAAGGCAUUGUUGUCUCCCUAUAAGGAAACCCUAUUUAAACUCUCUUUAUGUAUGCAUAUUUUUUAGGAUGCUUCUAUAGUAGUAGGCUUCCAUAUGAUAUCUUUUUUUUAAAAAAGCCUUUACAGUUAGAUAUUCCUCUCCACUAUUCCCCCUUUACUCUGCCCUCUGAUCCUUGCCCCAUUUAAUCCAUUCUGUUCCAUUAUUCUUCUUUCUCCCAUUUGAUUACUACAUUUAUUGGGAAGUAUCUUAAACAUACCUGGAUGCUCUGUAAUUCUUAAGCAUCCCUAUUUCAAGAGAUAUUCAGGUUGCCUUUCAAUCUUGUUACUGCCAACAAUGCAAACAAUCUUUUAUAUUCAUACUUUUGGGGGUACUAUUUGAAUCAUUUUAUAAUGUCAUUGAAAUUAAUUUGUAUCAUCAACAGAUUGUACAAACUAUAUGAAUUCUUGGCUUUGCAUACGAGCAAGCAUCAAUGUUGGAUCUUAAUUAUCUUCAACUGGUUUUGAAUUUGUUGAAAGUAUCUCUGUGCUAAUUUAUUAUUUAUUUAUUUAUCUAUUUAUGUAUUCAGCAUAUAGUUUUAUUAUUGCUCUUUUAAAAUAAAGUAUCAAGUCCCAUGGAGUUUUAAAUAACA
ensembl:lncRNA